rnacentral:sRNA from 1 species
UAGACCGGUUCGCGACACAUAUUUUGAUC